rnacentral:rRNA from 1 species
UACGAAGGGGGCUAGCGUUGCUCGGAAUCACUGGGCGUAAAGGGUGCGUAGGCGGGUUUUUAAGUCAGGGGUGAAAUCCUGGAGCUCAACUCCAGAACUGCCUUUGAUACUGAAGAUCUUGAGUCCGGGAGAGGUGAGUGGAACUGCGAGUGUAGAGGUGAAAUUCGUAGAUAUUCGCAAGAACACCAGUGGCGAAGGCGGCUCACUGGUCCAUUACUGACGCUGAGGUGCGAAAGCGUGGGGAGCAAACAGGG